rnacentral:lncRNA from 1 species
GUACUGACUACAUUACAGGGUAGUGAUCAAUAGACGGGGAAAGGUACUGACUACAUUACAGGGUAGUGAUCAAUAGAUGGGGAAAGGUAAGGUACUGACUACAUUACAGGGUAGUGAUCAAUAGAUGGUGAAAGGUACUGACUACAUUACAGGGUAGUGAUCAAUAGAUGGGGUAAGGUACUGACUACAUUACAGGGUAGUGAUCAAUAGAGGGGGAAAGGUAAGGUACUGACUACAUUACAGGGUAGUGAUCAAUAGAGGGGGAAAGGUACUGACUACAUUACAGGGUAGUGAUCAAUAGAUGGGGAAAG